rnacentral:rRNA from 1 species
UACAGAGGGUGCAAGCGUUGUUCGGAAUUAUUGGGCGUAAAGCGCGUGUAGGCGGCUUUGCAAGUCGGGUGUGAAAGCCCUCGGCUCAACCGAGGAAGUGCGCCCGAAACUGCAGAGCUUGAGUACCGGAGAGGAUGGCGGAAUUCCCCAAGUAGAGGUGAAAUUCGUAGAUAUGGGGAGGAACACCGGUGGCGAAGGCGGCCAUCUGGACGGAUACUGACGCUGAGGCGCGAAAGCCAGGGGAGCAAACGGG